UUGAAAUUCACUUUUAUUUCUCCUACUUGCUAUUUGUAUCUCUGUCUUCUUUUUUCUUCUCCUUCUUCUCAUCCCCACUUCUUUCUCUCUUUGUCUCUCUCACCCUUCUCCUCCCUCACCACUCUGUUCGUAUCCCUUCCCAUUUUCUUGUUCUCGUUCUUUCUUUCUCUUUCGCUCUAUCGCACGUGCUUGCAAUCGAGUGCAAGAGAGGCCUGCACAUGGGUUUGCGAAUGCAAGACCUACGCAGUAUGCAUGUGCAUGUUACCGCGGGAUCGGUUGUUUAUCAUGUAUGAUCGGUUUAUAGGUCGACGAGAAAUAACGCAGUGCAAUGUCAAUGGUGUUUCACGAGACGAUGAGGGAUAUUUAAUUCCUCGUUUUGUCGAUGACGGGACACAGCUGUUUUUAACCAGCUGACUCUACGUCUCUGUGCUACGUGUGUGCGCAGCUUUAUCUUAUUCGUUUAUUAACGCACGGCGAGUGUAUGCUAUACGGUCGUGGGUUUUAAAGAUACGCCACAAGACUAUCGGAUAAACAACGCAGGAACGAAGAAAUUGUGCGCAUAUAUACUUCCUUCUUUUACCUCGUAUCUGCGCAUUGUGCUCAUAAACAGGUAGAAAAUGAGAUUCGAAUUAUUUGGAACAAGAAGUGAUGCAGUAGAAACAUAGCGAGCAGAUUGGAGCAAGUCGAAAAUUAAUAACCAAAAAUUUAACGUUCGGAGGGUAUCGGAUAAGGAAGAGAAUAAGGAAGAAAGACAAGCGAUACGAGAUUACGUCCAUCGAACCGCGUUUGCUGCUUUUACGCGUGAAUAUUUGCGAUGGAACGCACUCGCGCCACCAAAACGAACACUCGACUCGGUUACCGUAUCUCGUUGCGAACUUAUCGAACGAUAAGCAGCUACCUAGAGACGCGUCUUCCAAAAAUAAGAUACAGCCAAGGGCGUAUCGCGUAUCGAGUCUUUUAAAACGAACGUGUGUUUGUGCCUUCGCCACGGACAGACUCAGUAAAAUCGGCCGUUGAUUCGCACGUGCGGUUUAUUUCGAUACACAGCCGCGUGUAGUUUUCGCGUGUAUUUCGAGAGAGUCUAGUGAUUCCUCCAUCGAGCGGAGUGGCGCAGAAUGCGAGACGAUCGAGUUGAGGGAAAGAGAAUCGAGAAAACAAAGAUGGACAAUGAAAGGCGAAACGACAGACACUGUCAGACUGUUCUUAGCGAAACGCUGGUUCAACCGAUACUGUAAACAACAGCAACAACAACAGCCACAGCAGAGGCAAAUGCUCCGUAACGGUCUUGCAGAUUGAGUAAUCGUUUCCGCCCCUUUCUGAUGUUACUCGUACACCUUGACUAUGCAGGUCAAACGCACGAAGGCUCUCAAUGAAAUCGAGGUCAUUAUAACAUGGUCUGCAUGCGUACACGCGGGAUGUCUUAGUAAUUUUAAUACAAUCGGAAAGCGCGAUUCCACAAUGACGAACAAGGACGAAAAUAAUACAUUUUUAAUACGUGGCUUUGUUUUCGUGAGAAUGAUAUGGGUACAGGUGUAUUUUAACUGUGCCACGGUCGAAUAGCUUUCGUUAUAGUUCGCUACUUGGCACUGAUAGUGGCACAACUAAAAAGCGGACAUUUUAUAGUAGAGGCUUCUUAAAAUUUACAUGGGAAGCUUCCUGAGUCAUUUUUAACGACGUUAUAAAACUGAUAGAAUAAGACAAGAUACGCCACUGUUCGCGAAAACAGUAGAACUUCGCAUUUGUAGUGUCACAAAAAUAACAGAAGAUGAGCCAGGCUAAUAGUGGCAUAAAUAGGUGAUAAUCUUCCCUCUCUGACGCAAAACUGAUGGAAUUAUAAAUACACCGUUUUACAUAAGAAAAAUAGAAACAUAACGUAGACGUUCUAUUCGUUCAAAGCAAAGUCGAAAGCCUUUCAGUUGUUCCAUUAUCGAUACACCUGGCAACGAUAUAUCGUUUAUAGAUAGUGUCAUAAUUAUUGAGACGUUCUGUAUGUUUUUGAUAUUUCAUUUUAAUGUAGUACCUUAACGUUUUCUCUUCUAAUCGCGUAACCAAUUAUCUCCGGUUCGAUUGAAUGAUAGCUAACUCGAUCAAUUUAAAGUGGAAUCUACUUAACAAUACGACUUCGUUUCCUUUUCAGACGCACUUUUCUUCUCACGGACAAUCAGCUAUGUCGAUAAUAUCGAUCCUGUCGAAUAACGUUCGUUCGGGUUUACCCGUCCACUAAUCGAAUCAAUCGUUUUGAUAUUACGGCGGAACAUCGUGCGAUCGUUUGGGACAAUUAUGCGGGACAUGGAAUUUACUUCUUUUCGAUGCUAUAAUGCAUUUCGCGUCAAUUUCUAUGUUAAUCUUUCGUUCUUCCAACUUCCGCGAGUCGCUCGUGAAAGCACGCAACAAUGAAAUUCCUCGUACAUACACAGGACGCAAGAAGACGCGAUACUUCCGGCUGAGUAAUAUGUUGGCCGACCGAUAUUGCUUUUGUAAUUGCCACGCCAAGAAAAUUAUUUCAGCUGACCAUGUAUCGCGGAACGCGUGAAACGUCCGUUAGUUUCGUUUCUAUUUGACUGCGUGCCUGAGGCAUGUGCGUUUGUUCGCGUGUAGCGUCGUAUAUCUCUGGUUUAUGCGUAGCCUCGUAUAUCUCUGGUUUAUGCGUAGCCCCGUAUAUCUCUGGUUUAUGCGUAGCCUGCGCGAUUGCAGUGAAAAACAAAUCCAUUGAUACUGACCAGAAUCGAGAAUGCUCGCGGUUCUUCCAUGUAACCUGUUCUUCUAUGUAAUACAAUUCUCUCGGUAGACAGCCUCAGGUGAGAGCUGUGUAACGCUCAGCUCGCGUAUAAACACUUGCCAAAACAAGAAAGUGGUUUAUCGUAUGUUGAAUAACAUGACUCACAUGGUCGUAAUUCGAUUUUCCUUUUCAACGAUCGAGCUGCUUCGUAGAUCUACGCCGGUAUCAAAUGACGUCGAUUGAUAAAAGCGUUCGAUGAAGGUGCAUGGAGCUUUACGAUAGCCAUUCUUCGAACACAUCAGCUGUCUCUUAACUGGUGUAGUUACGAUUGUAUUUAAAAUUCGAAAGUAACAUGUCCAUUGAAUUAUACGCUUUAAUUUCAAAUCUAUUUUUCUUCAGCGUUACGAUUCCUCUAAUAUGGAUGAAGAUCGUGCUUUCGUUUAAUGGUUUCUUUUCAUGCGCUUAUUUCAGUUCGCUCGUAACGCGUGUACCUUGCGAAAUAUUGUUCACUGAACUUUCUCCAAAGGCAGGCAGUUAGAGUUCCGUUCUUCUGGCUUCGUUCUGGUUAUAUUGCUUGUUUUCGAACUCGGUUUUUGACCUCGUUCAACGAUGCGCGGCUGUGAUUCCUUCGCGGCCGUUUGUAUUCUCGCGAAUUAUAUCGCCUCGGAUCGGGACUAAUUUCAUGUGAAAAUCGCGGAGGUAACGGUGGUGGACGUUGAAGCGGCGCGACGCUACCAGCGUCGUGGAGUAUCGAGCUAAAUAAGAGGAAUUAAAAAUGAAACGUCGUCGAUUAAAAUUAAAUGUAGCUUGAAAUUCUACGACGCGUGCUUGAUAAGCUCAGCAACCGUCGUUCGUUGUGUAUUAUUAAACGCAAGCGGAAACUUUUGUUUUCCUUUCUUCCGUCGACUUUUUCAACCGUUUACCGCUUUUCCAUCCUGAAAUUGGAUGUGGAUUUGAAAGGAACUGUUCCGUUCGGUACAUAAAGCCCGCGCCACGUAAGGUAUUACAAACUGUAUUCUUCAAGACAGAAGCUUUUCCUAUUUUCGUGCUUGAUCUUUGAAUUAAUAACGUAGCUUUGAAGUAAUAUGGGCAAAAGGAUUUUUUAGCGUUUGAUUCUCGUUUCAAAGUUCUAAAGCUGUUUAAGAGAGAAAAUCGUGAAAAAUCUCUUUCAGUACACCAAUAUCGAUAGCAAUGUCAAAACAAAGUUUUCUCGACGUGUUUUUGCGGCUUUCGUGGAAACAAUUUGCCGCAAUUUACCUUAUUUCCAUCCACUCUUUUCCAAAUACAAAGUAUUACGAUACGAUCGUUUCUUCAAAUUCAUUAUAGUCAAGAAAACGAUAUUCGAUAUAACUAUCUAAAAAUAUAUACAGUGCGUCUCUCAUGUAACUGGGACAAGAUGUAUCUUUAAAAGAUGUAACAUCGAUUAAUGUAGCUUGAUGUAGUAUACGAUCGUAGUACAACCGGGUAGAAGGCGAUUCUGCGUGAAAAAAAUAAGAAAAAAAAAAUUUAGUGUAAUGUUUUUCCAUCGGCGACUAUAAAUCUAUAAUCAAACAUAGUCCAUAACUUAUCCGAGUUGCGCGAGACACUUUGCAUUGUGUAUCUUAAUAAAGAUUACCAUCAAUGGUUUUUUUCCGGAUGAGAAAAUUUGUUUAAUGCCGCACCAAUGAGUCCAAUUGAAUCAACAUCGUCCAGAUAGUUUGUUUUCGAAAAUUUGUAAUCCCGGUUGCGUCAAGAACGCACGCGAAGCGUUGCGAUUUGCGAUCAACUCAACUCUGCUCGGUAGUCACGCGAGCUUCGGUGCGUUUCAUCGAUUGACGAAGAUAACAUUACGCCGGACUUAUGACACGCUUCUGCGUUCACACUUCUUUCCACAUCGAUUUCCCUCAGUUCAUUGCACCGUUUUCUCGCCGACGCUUAAAUGUUUGUUCAACGAUGUUUUCGCUUUUUAUUUGCACGGCCACUGAUCACAAAUUGC